rnacentral:rRNA from 1 species
UGCGCAGGCGGUUAUAUAAGUCAGAUGUGAAAUCCCCGGGCUCAACCUGGGAACUGCAUUUGAGACUGUAUGGCUAGAGUGUGUCAGAGGGGGGUAGAAUUCCACGUGUAGCAGUGAAAUGCGUAGAUAUGUGGAGGAAUACCGAUGGCGAAGGCAGCCCCCUGGGAUAACACUGACGCUCAUGCACGAAAGCGUGGGGAGCAAACAGGAUUAGAUACCCUGGUAGUCCACGCCCUAAACGAUGUCUACUAGUUGUCGGGUCUUAAUUGACUUGGUAACGCAGCUAACGCGUGAAGUAGACCGCCUGGGGAGUACGGUCGCAAGAUUAAA